UGGGGGAUAUUGCACAAUGGGCGAAAGCCUGAUGCAGCGACGCCGCGUGGGGGAUGAAGGCUUUCGGGUUGUAAACCUCUUUCGCUAUCGAACAAGGCCCGCUUAGGGUGGGUGGAGGGUAGGUGGAGAAGAAGCGCCGGCUAACUACGUGCCAGCAGCCGCGGUAAUACGUAGGGCGCGAGCGUUGUCCGGAAUUAUUGGGCGUAAAGGGCUUGUAGGCGGCUUGUUGCGCCUGCUGUGAAAACGCGGGGCUUAACUUCGCGCGUGCAGUGGGUACGGGCAGGCUUGAGUGUGGUAGGGGGGACUGGAAGUCCAGGUGUAGCGGUGGAAUGCGCAGAGAUCUGGAAGAACACCGAUGGCGAAGGCAGGUCACUGGGCCAUUACUGACGCUGAGUAGCGAAAGAAUGGGUAGCGAACAGG
rnacentral:rRNA from 1 species